AGAGUUUGAUCCUGGCUCAGGACGAACGCUGGCGGCGUGCCUAACACAUGCAAGUCGAGCGGGCCUGUGAAGGUUUUAUGUUUUGGCAGGUUUAGCGGCGGACGGGUGAGUAACGCGUGAGCAACCUACCCUUGAAACAGGGAUAACCCUGGGAAACCGGGGCUAAUACCUGAUAUACUCUAUUAUGGCAUCUUGAUGGACGAAAGGAUGGGAAGCCGCUCAAGGAUGGGCUCGCGUCCCAUCAACUAAUUGGUGAGGUAACGGCUCACCAAGGCGACGACGGGUGGCCGGCCUGAGAGGGUGGUCGGCCACACUGGGACUGAGACACGGCCCAGACUCCUACGGGAGGAAUCAGUGGGGAAUCUUCCGCAAUGGGUGAAAGCCUGACGG
rnacentral:rRNA from 1 species